ACGGCGGACGGGUGAUAAUGCUUAGAAUCUGCCUAUCUAGUGCGGGGACAACGUCUUCGAAAGGAACGCUACUACCGCAUACGUCCUACGGGAGAAAGCAGGGGAUCAUUUGACCUUGUGCUAAUAGAUGAGCCUAAGUCGGAUUAGCUAGUUGGUGGGGUAAAGGCCUACCAAGGCGACGAUCUGUAGCGGGUCUAGAGAACGAUGAUCCGCCACACUGGCGACUGAGACACGGCCCAGACUCCUACGGGAGGCAGCAGUGGGGAAUAUUGGACAAUGGGCGCAAGCCUGAUCCAGCCAUGCCGCGUGUGUGAAGAAGGCCUUAUGGUUGUAAAGCACUUUAAGCGAGGAGGAGGAGCUUCAGGUUAAUACCCUGGAUGCUUGGACGUUACUCGCAGAAUAAGCACCGGCUAACUCUGUGCCAGCAGCCGCAGGUAAUACAGAGGGUGCAAGCGUUAAUCGGAUUUACUGGGCGUAAAGCGUGCGUAGGCGGCUAAUUAAGUCAAAUGUGAAAUCCCCGAGCUUAACUUGGGAAUUGCAUUCGAUACUGGUUAGCUAGAGUAUGGGAGAGGAUGGUAGAAUUCCAGGUUGUAGGCGGUGAAAUGCGUAGAGAUCUGGAGGAAUACCGAUGGCGAAAGGCAGGCCAUCUGGCUAAUACUGAACGCCCU
rnacentral:rRNA from 1 species